GCCCCGAUGGCACAAUGGAUAGCGCGGCCCCCUCCUAAGGGGCAGGUUGAAGGUUCGAGUCCUUCUCGGGGCGCCA
rnacentral:tRNA from 1 species